rnacentral:rRNA from 1 species
GCGAAUGUACAGGGAUACACUCAACAUGGAAGUUGGGUUUCUCAAGCCUAAGUUGUAACACUGAGAUAUGCAACCAAUAAAAGUGCAAUUGCAAGCCUUUGGAAUUAGAGUGUUGGUAAAGGUGAAGUCCCUGUUUAUCAUCUGUGGCUUUCAAUAUAUGGUGCAUUGUCCGAGAGUUAUGCCCCAUGAUAUUGGUGUGUGAAGUGGGUGGUAUGUUUCAUGUAAAGAUCAACAUCAAUCUGGUGCCGAUAGUGAACAAGUACCAUGAGGGAAAUGUGAAACAGGACUUUGGGCAGAGUGAUAAUAAUGCUUGAACAUGCUGAAGAGGAAAUGAGGGGAGCAUCGUGCAUCUUGGGAAGACUACUGUGUGCAUGUGUGCUUGUUUGCGUUUGCUAAUGCAAGUGCACUUGUUGGUCCUGAAUUGGAGUACAUGCAGAGUGUCUUGCCCUCUGGAUCUGUGUUAGGUCAUUUCAUCAAAAAAUAAGUAGGGGUUUGGUAAAUUGUUGCUAGGCGGGUGAGUGCGUCUUGCUGUGCAUGUGGAAACCAUGCAUGGUGACUUUGUUGUGCCAUUCAUCCUGUCUUGAAACACAGAUCAAGGAGUCUAGCGCAGGUGCAAACGCAAAGGUGGCACAAUCUGCACGUUCAAUGAAUAUGUGGGCAGGGAUUUGUGCAGCCACACCCAACACUUCACGCUUGGAAUGCAUGAGUAUGAGUAUCUAUGUUAGGACCCGAAAGGUGGUGAACUAUGCCUGUGAAGAAGUCAAUUCACGGGAAACUCUGAUGGAGGACUGUAGUGUUACUGACGUGCAAUCGUUCGUUAUACAUGGGUAUAGGGGGUGAAAGACUAAUCGAAUCAUCUAGUAGCUGGUUCCCUCUGAAGUUUCCCUCAGAAAGCUGGAGCUGGUCAGUUUUAUCAGUAAAGCAAAUGAUUAGAGGAAUCGGGGCAUCAUGCCUUUGACCUAUUCUCAAACUCUAAAUAGGUAAAACAUGUUGGCUACGUGUAUGAGCUGCUGAGGCAAGUGGACGCUCUAAGUGGGCCGUUUUUGGUAAGCAGGACUGGUGAUGAGGGAUGAACCUAUUGUUGGACUAAUGUGCCUUGUUACUCACGCAUCAGAUACCAUAAAGGGUGUUGGUCCAUAUCAA